GACGUAGGGCGCAAGCGUUGUCCGGAUUUAUUGGGCGUAAAGAGCUCGUAGGCGGCUCGUUGCGUCGGCUGUGAAAACCCACAGCUUAACUGUGGGCCUGCAGCCGAUACGGGCGAGCUGGAGUUCGGUAGGGGAGACUGGAAUUCCUGGUGUAGCGGUGAAAUGCGCAGAUAUCAGGAGGAACACCGGUGGCGAAGGCGGGUCUCUGGGCCGAUAUUGACGCUGAGGAGCGAAAGCGUGGGGAGCGAACAGG
rnacentral:rRNA from 1 species